AUCAAAGUGAAAAAAAGGUGCCAAUAAAACUAUCCUUAAAACUGCUUUUCUUUUUUUCUUUCAGUGACUUGUAUGUGGCAGUGCAAGCGUUGUUCCAUCAGGGAGAGUAGUAGAUUGAGAAGGAGUUUCUGCGAAUCACCACAAAGCCUCUGCUAUCUACUUUCUUUGCCGAGCUUGACCAAUACGCGCCAUGCUUAAUGGAAAUCUUUCUGACCAAAGGAGGGACACGUGGAAAGAAAAUAAGAGGUCUCAUGCUUGCCAUCUCCAAGCAUGACAACAUCCAUACCAGACGAGCAUGCAUCUUGAAGUCUUUGUGCAUCCACCUAAACGAAGACGUUAAUAGAAGU